GACGUCGCUUAUUUUGGCUACGCAAGAUACGGUCUUUUGAAGACACGUGUAGGCAGGGGAUGAUACCGUCCCGACUCUCGGUCUCUCUCUAUCGCGAAGAAGGAAGAAAGAAGAAGAAGCCAUGGCAGAGACCUCGUCUCUCGGAGACUGAAACCAACCCACGUCAAAGAGAUCCUGAUCGGAACCAUAGACGAACUCAAACUGGGUCUGAGGUUCUUCAAUUUCCUCGGCCUGCACAGAGGAUUCGACCACUCGACGGCGUCGUUCUGCGUCUUGAUCCACGCUCUGGUCCAAUCCAAUCUCUUUUGGCCGGCCUCGUCGCUCCUGCAGACGUUUCUCCUCCGGGGGCUUAACCCAAGCGAGGCUUCUCACGUGCUUUACACCUGUUACGAGAAGUGUAAGCUUGGUUCGAGUUCAAGCUCGAGUUUUGAUUUGUUGAUUCAGCAUUAUGUACGAAGUAGGAUAGGUUUAGAUGGCGUUUUGGUGUUUAGGUUCAUGAAGAAAGUUGGUUUACUGCCUCAAGUCAGAACCUUGAGCGCGUUGUUACAUGGUUUAGUUCAUUGUAGGCAUUACGGUUUGGUGAUGGAGGUGUUUAGGAGACUAUCAUGCUUUGUUCUCAGCAGCUCAAGAUGUCGCCGAGUGCCUUGAUAAAAGCCAGAAGAAUCUGUUGGCCAUAUGGACGAUUAAAGCAGUUGUGGCUAAUGACCUCUUUACUGAUGACAGCUUUAUGUAUAAUAAAGAUUGUGUUUCAGUUCUGCAAAGAGAACUCCUUGAAUCAAAUGUUCCAUACACUAUAGAGCGAGUGUCAGGUUUCUCUUAACACAGUAGACAGCGUGGAGACGUUUGUUUCUGAUAUUAAUAAUGGGAGAUGGGACUCUGUUCUUCCUCAAGUGUCUCAGCUUAAGCUUUCCAGGAAUAAACUAGAAGACCUUUAUGAACAGUGAUGGCUACUAUGGAGAAGCCUAUUGAUUCAAGCCAUGGUGAUUCUGCCACUUCUUCAAAUCGGGUACCACUUCUUCAAAUCAGUAUAUAUAGACACAUACAAACAUAUGUAUGCAAAGUACGAAUCUUUGAAUGAAUUAGACAUGUCUAUAAGAGGAAUUGUGGUUCUUGAACUGAGAAUAUGAAUUAUUUUUUGUUCUAACUGCAUGAUAUGGCAUCUUUGUUUUAAUUUUAAUAAAAAUGUUUAAUAAGUUUU